UACAGAGGUCUCAAGCGUUGUUCGGAUUCACUGGGCUUAAAGGGCGCGUAGGCGGGUUCCCAAGUCGGUGGUGAAAUCUUUCGGGCCCAACCGGAAAACAGCCGCCGAUACUGGGAGUCUUGAGGGAGGUAGGGGUCGAUGGAACUUCCGGUGGAGCGGUGAAAUGCGUAGAUAUCGGAAGGAACGCCGGUGGCGAAAGCGAUCGACUGGACCUUUUCUGACGCUGAGGCGCGAAAGCCAGGGGAGCAAACGGG
rnacentral:rRNA from 1 species